GUGCAGCAGUCGCGAAACCUCCGCAAUACACGAAAGUGUGACGGGGUCAUCCCGAGUGCCGUCCGCUGAGGACGGCUUUUCCCCAGUGUACACAGCUGGGGGAAUAAGGAGAGGGCAAGCCUGGUGUCAGCCGCCGCGGUAAUACCAGCUCUCCGAGUGGUGGGGACGCUUAUUGGGCCUAAAGCAUCCGUAGCCGGCUGGGCAAGUCCUCCGUUAAAUCCAACGAUUCAAUCGUUGGGCUGCGGGGGAUACUGUCCAGCUUGGGGGGCGGGAGAGGCCGACGGUAUUCCCGGGGUAGGGGUGAAAUCCUAUAAUCCCGGGAGGACCACCAGUGGCGAAGGCUGUCGGCUAGAACGCGCCCGACGGUGAGGGAUGAAAGCUGGGGGAGCGAACCGGAUUAGAUACCCGCGUAGU
rnacentral:rRNA from 1 species